CGCUAUCACUCCUACGGGAGCAGCAGUGGGGAAUCUUGCGCAAUGGGCGAAAGCCUGACGCAGCCAUGCCGCGUGAAUGAUGAAGGUCUUAGGAUUGUAAAAUUCUUUCACCGGGGACGAUAAUGACGGUACCCCGGAGAAGAAGCCCCGGCUAACUUCGUGCCAGCAGCCGCGGUAAUACGAAGGGGGCUAGCGUUGCUCGGAAUUACUGGGCGUAAAGGGAGCGUAGGCGGACAUUUAAGUCAGGGGUGAAAUACCCGGGGCUCAACCUCGGAAUUGCCUUUGAUACUGGAUGUCUUGAGUGUGAGAGAGGUAUGUGGAACUCCGAGUGUAGAGGUGAAAUUCGUAGAUAUUCGGAAGAACACCAGUGGCGAAGGCGACAUACUGGCUCAUUACUGACGCUGAGGCUCGAAAGCGUGGGGAGCAAACAGGAUUAGAUACCCUGGUAG
rnacentral:rRNA from 1 species